CGCCCCCCCUUCCCGGCCCCUCCGUUCCCGCCGCCCGCACACCGCCCUUCCGGGACACCCAGCUCCGCGGGACGGUGCUUUCUAUGCAUAUGAAUUGUGAUGUCAUCCUCCUCUACCCGUCAGCAUAGCAUGGAGAGAGGCUGCAAGAAGGGAGAGCCCCAGAAGUGACAGCUCAAGAUCAAGAAAGCUUCCAGGAUUCCUGCCUCCCCGGACCUGGGUAUUGGAUCUCAGGACCCGGCCAGUCAGUCGGUCGUAUUUAUUGAGCGCCUAGUGUUGGCGAUCCAGUCCUCAAACCCACUCCAAAGGGAGCCGGGGCCAUGGAUGUGAUGACCGAGGUCAGGGUGUAUAGGCCCCUGACCAUAACUCCGGGGGGCCUGCUUACCCAUUUACAGGAAAAGCAGACUCAUUUUCCUGUUGCAACAAGGGAGUGACCUUGCACCCCUGGGCUGCCUGUUUUGCGUACACGACAUCCAGUUCCUGUGCUCCUCUUCUGUGGUUUAUUUUUGUUUUCCCCUCGGCCUUAGCCUUUCCUGAACAAGGCCCGGCAGCCCGGCCCACCCCACUCAGUCCAAUCUCCCCAGCCCCACAGACCGCAGCUUUUUAAUCUUGAAACUGUCCAGGGUGGACUCUUUUGUUGGGAUUCUCUGUCAUCAAUCAAUCAGUUGUAUUUAUUGAGCCCUUACUGCGUGCAGAGCACUGGACUAAGCGGUUGGGAAGUACAAGUUGGCAACAUAUAGAGACAGUCCCUACCCAACAGUGGGCUCACAGUCUGGAACUUUCUAUGAACUUUCCCAGGCAUUUUGAUUGUACGCCUUCAGGGCAGGGAUUUUUGAUUGACUUUUGUUUUGUGUGGCACCUACCGGCCCUAAGCAAAAUGUGAAACUGUCCAGUGACUGAGGGCAGUGAUUCAGGAUAGAUGACCUUAGUGGGUGGUGGGGGGGAGGGGGGAGACUAUGCCGGAUGUAAUGGAUGAUUUGGAAACUCGGGAAUUUCAGGGGUCAGUCCGAAUGGAAAAAAAAAAAAAAACAAAGAACAAA